UCACUCUCUCUCUCUCUCCUCUCUCAUUCCCUCUUCACACUUAGGAAAGGCAAUAUGAGCACAUAGCUAGAAGUUGGCCAGGAAGAGAGAUCUCACCAGAAGCUAACCAUGCUGGCAUCCUGAUCUCAGAUUUUCAGCCUUCAGAACUGUGAGAAAAUGAAUUUCUCUUAUUGAAGACACCCAGUCUGAGUUGUUUUGUUAGGGCAGACCAAGAAAACUAAAGAUAGUGUGUGCAUGUGGAUGUAACCAGACUUCAAAGGAUUGUAUAACAGCAUAGCCUACCUCAUUGACUCAGUACCUGCAAGGAAGCUACCCACCAACCUUCAUAUCCACACCAUACUCCCUCUCACAGUGACUAAUGCAUGACUUUGCACAUGAAGUUACUUGGUAAGA